rnacentral:rRNA from 1 species
CCAAUAGCGUAUAUUAAAGUUGUUGCAGUUAAAAAGCUCGUAGUUGAAUUUCGGGGUUAGUAGGUCGGUCAUGCCACUGGUAUGUACUGGUUUCACUGACUCCUCCUUCCUGAUGAACCGUAAUGCCAUUAAUUUGGUGUUGCGGGGAGACUGGACUGUUACUUUGAAAAAAUUAGCGUGUUUAAAGCAGGCUAACGCUUGAAUACAUUAGCAUGGAAUAAUGAAAUAGGACGUUCGAUCCUAUUUUGUUGGUUUCUAGGAUUGACGUAAUGAUUAAUAGGGAUAGUUGGGGGCACUAGUAUUCAAUUGUCAGAGGUGAAAUUCUUGGAUUUAUUGAAGACUAACUACUGCGAAAGCAUUUGCCAAGGAUGUUUUCAUUAAUCAAGAACGAAAGUUAGGGGAUCGAAGACGAUCAGAUACCGUCGUAGUCUUAACCAUAAACUAUGCCGACUAGGGAUCGGAUGAUGUUAAUUUUUUAAUGACUCAUUCGGCGCCUUACG